CAAUGUCUUCGAGCCCUUGCUCCUGUGGCGCACGCUAUGGAGCCUGGGCCGCGCCGAAAGCUCGGUUCAGGGCGCAGCGGGAAACGGCUGCACCUUCCGUAUUUGAAAAGGAGACAUG
rnacentral:ncRNA from 1 species